AGCGGAACGAUCCUAGCUUGCUAGGAGGCGUCGAGCGGCGGACGGGUGAGUAACGCGUGAGAAUCUACCCAUGAGNGGGGGACAACCCGGGGAAACUCGGGCUAAUACCGCAUACGCCCUACGGGGUAAAGCAGGGGACCUUCGGGCCUUGCGCUGAUGGANGAGCUCGCGUCGGAUUANCUUGUUGGUGAGGUAAAGGCUCNCCAAGGCGACGAUCCGUAGCUGGUCUGAGAGGAUGAUCAGCCACNCCGGGACUGAGACACGGCCCGGACUCCUACGGGAGGCNGCAGUGGGGAAUCUUGGACAAUGGGGGCAACCCUGAUCCAGCCAUGCCGCGUGUGUGAAGAAGGCCUUCGGGUUGUAAAGCACUUUCNGCAGGGAGGAAGGNUUACCCCUAAUANGGGUGAGUNCUUGACGUUACCUGCAGAAGAAGCACCGGCUAAUUUCGUGCCAGCAGCCGCGGUAAUACGAAAGGUGCAAGCGUUAAUCGGAAUUACUGGGCGUAAAGCGCGCGUAGGCGGUGUGUUAAGUCGGAUGUGAAAGCCCAGGGCUCAACCUUGGAAUUGC
rnacentral:rRNA from 1 species